UAAGCCUGUGAAGGUGUGUCGUGAGGCAUGCUGGAGGUAUCAGAAGUGCGAAUGCUGACAUAAGUAACGAUAAAGCGGGUGAAAAGCCCGCUCGCCGGAAGACCAAGGGUUCCUGUCCAACGUUAAUCGGGGCAGGGUGAGUCGACCCCUAAGGCGAGGCCGAAAGGCGUAGUCGAUGGGAAACGGGUUAAUAUUCCCGUACUUGGUGUUACUGCGAAGGGGGGACGGAGAAGGCUAUGUUGGCCGGGCGACGGUUGUCCCGGUUUAAGCGUGUAGGUGUGUGUUCCAGGUAAAUCCGGUUCACUUUAACACUGAGGCGUGACGACGAGGCACUACGGUGCUGAAGCAACAAAUGCCCUGCUUCCAGGAAAAGCCUCUAAGCAUCAGGUAACAUCAAAUCGUACCCCAAACCGACACAGGUGGUCAGGUAGAGAAUACCAAGGCGCUUGAGAGAACUCGGGUGAAGGAACUAGGCAAAAUGGUGCCGUAACUUCGGGAGAAGGCACGCUGACACGUAGGUGAAGUGAUUUACUCAUGGAGCUGAAGUCAGUCGAAGAUACCAGCUGGCUGCAACUGUUUAUUAAAAACACAGCACUGUGCAAACACGAAAGUGGACGUAUACGGUGUGACGCCUGCCCGGUGCCGGAAGGUUAAUUGAUGGGGUCAGCGCAAGCGAAGCUCCUGAUCGAAGCCCCGGUAAACGGCGGCCGUAACUAUAACGGUCCUAAGGUAGCGAAAUUCCUUGUCGGGUAAGUUCCGACCUGCACGAAUGGCGUAAUGAUGGCCAGGCUGUCUCCACCCGAGACUCAGUGAAAUUGAACUCGCUGUGAAGAUGCAGUGUACCCGCGGCAAGACGGAAAGACCCCGUGAACCUUUACUAUAGCUUGACACUGAACAUUGAGCCUUGAUGUGUAGGAUAGGUGGGAGGCUUUGAAGUGUGGACGCCAGUCUGCAUGGAGCCGACCUUGAAAUACCACCCUUUAAUGUUUGAUGUUCUAACGUGGACCCGUGAUCCGGGUUGCGGACAGUGUCUGGUGGGUAGUUUGACUGGGGCGGUCUCCUCCUAAAGAGUAACGGAGGAGCACGAAGGUUGGCUAAUCCUGGUCGGACAUCAGGAGGUUAGUGCAAUGGCAUAAGCCAGCUUGACUGCGAGCGUGACGGCGCGAGCAGGUGCGAAAGCAGGUCAUAGUGAUCCGGUGGUUCUGAAUGGAAGGGCCAUCGCUCAACGGAUAAAAGGUACUCCGGGGAUAACAGGCUGAUACCGCCCAAGAGUUCAUAUCGACGGCGGUGUUUGGCACCUCGAUGUCGGCUCAUCACAUCCUGGGGCUGAAGUAGGUCCCAAGGGUAUGGCUGUUCGCCAUUUAAAGUGGUACGCGAGCUGGGUUUAGAACG
rnacentral:rRNA from 1 species